GCUCACGCAUGCUUUGUGCCUGACACACUUACUAUCAUUUCAUUGUGUAUCAUGAUUCGGAGAUGGAGUUGCUUCAGGUUUGUAGAUUUUUGUUUUAACAUUUGUGUUGAAUUCUUUCUCCAGGCUGAUGUUUCCUGUUGUGUUUGUGGAAAGAGUAGAAGGGAAACAAAUCCUUUGUUUUGUUUUCAGGAGUCCUGAGUUGAUGAGAAAAGUGUUGAGGGUGGGCUGAGGAAAAGAGUGACACUCCCUCUCCUCCCGGCUGAAAUUGAUAAACAAAUAAAUCAAUUAAGUGUAUCGAUAUUUGACCAAUAGAAUUUAGCGAACCCAGAAUGGAUAGAUAUGCCCAAUGGAAAUUACUGAGUUCACCUGUAGAAUUAUGUGCUUUACCAAGUAGAAGCAGCUUAGAGCAAUCAGAAAAGUAAGUAAUAUGAUGAGAUAUAAAAGGGAUAUCAUAUCUUUUAUUUCUGAAACUUUUCUACGGUAAGUUGUGUAGAGCUAAAAUUAAGUUUCAAGCACCAGGAUUUAAGAGUGUGGGUGGUUCUGUAGGAUCGUUAUUCACGGAUGUGCCUAGACCAAGCUAGAGUGGCUGAAGAUGGCAGGAAAAGACCCAGAGGCAGGAUUUGUCAUCCUAGGGUGUCCUCCAUAAUGGUUCCAUGUGAAAGCCCAUGAUUGGUUUAACAAACUGUAGCACACCCCAGCCGGCUGUGAACUUUGAUAAGAAAAAAAUAUGCUUAGAAACUGCUUUGCAAGCAAGUGCCUGUGCAUCCUCACACCAGUCUCCUUGCCUUAAAAAGCAGAGACAAUGCUUUGCUUGCAUACUUGAGGUUUUAGAUAGCACUCUGCUGGUUGCAAAGCAAGGACCGUGGCCCUCAGCAAUAAACGCUGGGCUUGUGUGCUGUUAGAUAGUCUAUUAUCCCCAAAACAAGGACCUGGUUGGUCUGGUGGUCUGCUUUGUAAUUCACAUAUCUAAAAAUGUAUCUUGUUCCCCUCACCCCAUGACUUCCCUAAAGAUACACUAAUCUUUUGUACUCAAUGUGGAUUUUACAAUCUCUGCCUCAUCCCGUCUUUCCCGAAGUUCCUCCUUACUAUCUCACAACUGUUGAUGAAUUUUUCCUUUGAUUAUACACAAUAAAUAUGGGAGCAUUUGAGAGGCUCGUGGAGUUGGCUCCCUACUCCCUCUCGAUUUCUUGACUUUUUACACAGAGUCUUGAAUAAUCAUUCCGUGCUGGUAAGACUUCUGCCAGCCAGAUGCCACAGUUCCAGGUGAGAAGUAUGCAGGCUUUAUCUUUCCUACCCGAGGGAGAGAGAGGAGAGAAUUGAGAUAUGCUCCCCCGUGGUCCCUUCCUGCCCCAGGGCCACUGCAGUUCACCUGAAGCCUUCUGACCUCUGCUCAGAGGGCCUCUGUCCCAGGACUGACUGCAGCCUUUUCUUCCCUUGUCAACAUUUCCUUUCAGAAGUAGGUCUCUUCUCUGCAAUUGAACCCUGGCAGAUGUGAUGGUGGUCAGCGUGCUGGUGGGCAGUCAUUUGGGGACUCCCAGGAGCCAUGCUGAUUCUCCUGAGUCUCUCAAUCGGGGUUACAGAACAGUCGAGAACCGAAGGAAGCCCAUUCACGUGAGGAAGCCCCGUAUGCAUAAGCAGAUAUUUCCAUCUUCCCCAUCCUCCCCCAGCCCCAAUGAGCCACUCUUCUCUCUCUGUGGAUUUGCCUGUACUGGACAUUUCAUUUAAAUCGAGUCACUUCAUGUAAGUGGAACCGUCUAUUGUGACUGACUUCUUUCACAUUGAGUAACGUUUUCAAUGUUUGUCCACGUUGUGGCCUGGGUCAGUACUCUAUGCUUUGCUAUUGCUGAAUAAUAUUCCACUGUAUGGCUGGGCCCCACUGUUUACCCAUUCAUCAGGUGAUAGGCAUUUGGGUUGUUUCUGCUUUUUGGCUGUGAUGAGUAGUGUCGCCGCGAACAUUCCUUUAGGAGUUUUUAUGUGGACAUUUGUUUUCAGUUCUCUUACGUGUGUGCCCAGACAGCAGAAUUGCUGGGUCAUUCAGAAACCAAAUGUUCAACUCCCUGAGGACCUGCCAGGCUGUUUACCAAAGUGGCCACGCUGUGUUACGUCCUCACCAGCAACUGCUGCCUGCUCCGCUUCAUCUGUGUCCUCAU